rnacentral:rRNA from 1 species
UACGUAGGGUGCAAGCGUUGUCCGGAAUUAUUGGGCGUAAAGAGCUCGUAGGCGGUUUGUCGCGUCUGCUGUGAAAACCCGAGGCUCAACCUCGGGCCUGCAGUGGGUACGGGCAGACUAGAGUGCGGUAGGGGAGAUUGGAAUUCCUGGUGUAGCGGUGGAAUGCGCAGAUAUCGGGAGGAACACCAAUGGCGAAGGCAGAUCUCUGGGCCGUAACUGACGCUGAGGAGCGAAAGCAUGGGGAGCGAACAGG